GGAGCUGUGUCCGAGUGGUUUAAGGUGCCGGUUUGCUAAACCGGUGGAUUUCAACAGAAAUUCCGAUGGUUCGAAUCCAUUCAGCUCCG
rnacentral:tRNA from 1 species